CUUGUGAUAGCCUAUCAAGCAUCACAAAGGAAUAUCCUUUAUUCUUUUCUCACCUCAACCACCAAAUUAAUUCAUUCUUAUCUUUUCAAUUCACCAUUUCUAUUCCCAACCACUCAUUCAAAUUUCAAAUUUCUACUUUAUCUUUCUCUUUCAUUUAAAUUAUUCAAUUUUCUGAUCACUUUCUCUCUCUUACGUGUGCCCCACCCCAAUCAGAAAUCAAUUCACUCUCUCUCUAUUCUCCCUCACUCACGCUCUCUCUCUUCUCCCUCACUCGACAUCUCCCUUUCUCCCUUUCUCUCCACUCUCUUCUUCUCCUUUCUUUUGGUGAAGCAACAAAAGAAAUACAACCACCAUCACCAUACUUCUUCUUCUCCCAUGGCAGCCGCCACCCAAGGCCAAGCCGCCACCACCGCGAGCCUUCUCCUCUGCUCACGCGAACCACCACCACCUCCAUGCCUCUUCACCGCGAACGCACCACCACCAUAGGUGACCGCCGCCGCCUCUCCUCCGUUCUCCAGCAAGCAUGGCAGCCACAACCGCCAUCACCCACUCCCAGCACCAUGAACGACGCCACCAACGCAAGGACCAUAGUGAAAACGAAACCCUAAAACCGCCACCUUUCUUCUCCGAUCUCCGGCGAACCACUGAGUUUUUGGAGAAACCGACACCGCUGUUGGACUCCCCUUGAUGUCCGCAAGAAAACCCCCCAAUCAAUUUGACCUUCCGACAACCUUCGCCGGAAACCGCCGCCAACCACCGUCUCCUCCGGCGAGAUCUUCGCCGGCGAAUUUGCUGAACAUGGAUUUGAGAGCCCUCGACCUUUUCCUCUCGAAUCCACUGUCAAACAAUUGCUUAGAGCUUGAUGAUCACACUUGGGGAGGGCAGCCAUGACCAGCAAAGUAGAGCCCUCCUACUGCCUUCAACUUUGAUAGGGGUACGAAUGACAGGAGCGCUUGACGAUGAAGCUAAAGAAUAAAAGGAAGCGAACCGACACGGGAAAGCAAAGAUGUGUUGGGAUUGAAAUUGCAGUUAGUAUGAGAAUUGACUAAGGUGGUGAUGCGAGCAGAUGCUACUUCAUGUCGAAGAACUAUAGAAGACUCGAAGAAUAGAGUCGGGUGUAAGGCUAGAGCCUUUUGGGUAAAGAGCUUAUCAUUGUUGGUUAAAUCUUAUAGGAUUAUUUUAUAAGUAUUGUUUAAAGUUUUGGGUAGGUUCCGGUGCAUUGCUAUCUUGCGAUUCUCUGAUGUGGAAAUCGUAGGGAGUAUAUCGGAUUUAUGAGUCAUUGCAUAAUCAGAUUCCUCGUUGAAUCUAAUUAUCUUCGUUCGGUUUGUAAGUUGGGUUCAUCUGUUGUUACCUCCGGGUACUUGCCUUGUUUAAGGCUGGAUGUAAAUUUAUAUACAGUUGGGAGUAUGCAUUUCAUGAUUUAGAAAUACUUUGAAAAGAAAAAAAAAU